rnacentral:rRNA from 1 species
UACUAUGUUACGACUUAUCUCACUUCUGAGAGCGACGGGCGAUAUGUGCAUAUUUUAGAGCUUGAUUCAAAUACUCAUAAUAUUAGUAUUUUACUAUUAAAUCCUAAUUAAUUUUUUCAUGUAAAAAAAUUACAUUAAAAUUAAUGUAAUUCACUUCAUUCAUAAUUAUUAGAUGCACCUUGACUUAAUAUAUUUUUUUUAAAAAAAUUUUAAAUAUAACUAUUCAAUAUAAUUAAUAUAGUGGUAUACAAACUGAUUUAAAUUACUAAAUUAAGUAAGAUUAAGGCGUUGUGUCCAUCACAGAGCAAAUUCCUCUAAUAAGCUUAAAAUACCGCCAAAAUUUUUUAAUUUCAUAAAUUUUAUUUACUCCUAAUAUAUAGCUUAAAAUAAUAGGGUAUCUAAUCCUAGUUU